rnacentral:lncRNA from 1 species
UUUACGUUUAGGUUUUAGAGUUGAUGUUUUAGGGUUUAGAUUUGAAGGUUUAGGGUUUUAGGAUUUAGGGUUUGAAUUUCAGAAAUAUAUAGGGUUUAGGGUUUAGGGUUUACAUUUAGGGUUUAGAGUUGAUGUUUUAGGGUUUAGAUUUGAAGGUUUAAGGUUUAGGGUUUAGAGUUGAUGUUUCGGCGUUUAGGGUUUAGAGUUGAUGUUUCAUGGUUUAGGUUUUAGAGUUGAUGAUUUAGGGUUUAAAGUUGAUGUUUUAAGUUUAGAUUAGUUAACCAUAUGUUUUUCUUGUCAAAGUUAAUCAAAGGGUUAUAAAUGUCUUUUACUCUUCGUUAAAAAUGAUUAGUGUAAACAUGAAAAGUGGUAUUUUGAAAAUGGUAUUUUUGACAAUUUCCCUAUAUUAAAACGCUAGUAUGUUAUGAAAUUAAUUUUUAUUUAAUGUAUAAUA